UUGAAAGCACACCUCUUCUACGUGUCUGU
rnacentral:piRNA from 1 species